rnacentral:rRNA from 1 species
UACGUAGGGGGCAAGCGUUGUCCGGAUUUAUUGGGCGUAAAGAGCGUGUAGGCGGCCAGACAGGUCAGUUGUGAAAACUCGAGGCUCAACCUCGAGACGUCGGUUGAAACCGUCUGGCUAGAGUCCGGAAGAGGAGAGUGGAAUUCCCGGUGUAGCGGUGAAAUGCGCAGAUAUCGGGAAGAACACCGGUGGCGAAGGCGGGAUCCUGGGCCAGUACUGACGCUGAGGAGCGAAAGCGUGGGGAGCAAACAGG